rnacentral:rRNA from 1 species
AGACCUCUGAUCAGAAAAGACUACCCGCUGAGUUUAAGCAUAUCACUAAGCGGAGGAGAAGAAACUAACCAGGAUUUCCCUAGUAACGGCGAGCGAACCGGAAAGAGCCCAGCUUGGAAAAUCGCGGCGCUGCGCGCCGCGAGUUGUAGUCUGGAGAGCGUCCUC